GAUUUAUCCGCUAGAGGAUUAAAUCUUUUAUUCAAAUCUUACAACUUAACAUUUUUUUAUUAUAACACCCCAGUAGGGCCUCAAGAAGAGUUGUCAAGGGAGACAACUUACACUUGAAUAUGUCAUAUAUAAGGCAGAGCAAAUUCUGGGAACGGUCUUUCAAUCGUGGCUCACCAUAGAAGAGGUAGACUAGUUUAUCUUCGUUAAAAAAAUCUAAAAUUUACAUUUCAAAUCUUGAAUAUCAACGAAUAUUAUUUAGAAUCGCACAGGAGAUUAAGAUACAUUUUACAUUUCUGCUCAUUAUUAUUUGUUUUAAUAUUUGGGGUUUAUUAGAUAAGAACUUUGACCAGAUCUAAUAACCACGUGGUGAUGACCAGCUGUUGUUCUCGUGAAGGACAGUAGUCAAAAAAAAUCAAUUUUGGAUGCCUUGAUUACACUAAAUAUAUUUCAAAGUCAAUCGGCUUCUUUGAAAUAUUUAGUAAAUAAAUAAAAAAUUGGAUUUAAAUCUAGAUCUUGAGUUUAAAACAUAGAUUCUAUAUUUAUAUGAUGUUUCAGCACGUGAUCUAUACUUAAAAUCUAGAGCAUUAUCUGAUGAAUCAAUAAAUGAGAAUAGCUUUAAAACGGUUAAAAAUACAAUUAAUUGAUUAUAUGGCUCGAUUAUGACAGGUCAUGUUUUACAACGGGAAAAUUAUCAGUUUCAUUGAAUCCACGCGCGUGACAUCAUACAGGUCUAUGACGUCAUUUCAUUGAGGCUAAGAAAAUAAAGAUAAGAGUAAAUAGAAUCUAAAUAUAUAAAGUAGGAAAUAAAUAAAAUAAGUUGAUAAUAAUAAUAAUAAUUUAAUUAGAUCUACACAAAUUUAUUUAAUUCAUUUAUUUAUAUUAUUUUAUUUUUCGACAAUGCUAAAACAUCGACAACAACGUGGCCAUACACGAGACACGCUCCAACAGCAAGUCAAUAAUAGGAGGAACAUUCGGACGUCUGUUUCUACAGCCAUGCCUCCAGCUGACAGACCUGUAAGGGAGCUCUGUGAAGAAAACGAAAUGUAUGGCCAAUCCGGACCUCCGGUAGAUGUUGAUCUUCAUCAGCAAGAGACAAAUAAAGAUAACACUAUAUUAGCACGUCAUGGCUGGAACAGAAAGAUAUAGAAAAAGGAGAAUGCUUAUAAUUCUCAGCGACCGUUAUCGGAGCUGAUCAAUUUGUAAAACAGACAUGUAAAGUGAAUUCAUCAUCUGUACCUGUGUACCUUGAGUUGAAGCAUGUGCUACCACGUUUUUGCAACCGUUGCCGGGGCAAAAACAGUUAUAGUAAAGACAUUUAGUAGUCUUAAAUCGAAACACAUAGACAUUUCAAUAGGUUAAAUAAUUAAAAUGCUUUUAUCCAGCCAUGGCCAUUUUCAUGCCAACACGUUUUUAUUAAUAAAUACUAGUACGUUUUUUA